rnacentral:snRNA from 1 species
GUUCAUACCUGAACAUAUACUAAAAUUGGAACAAUCCAGAGAAGAUUAGCGUGGCCCCUGCGCAAGGAUGACACGCAAAAAAAUAAAAAAAUAAAAGCAAUA